rnacentral:rRNA from 1 species
AUUAAUUCGAUGCAACGCGAAAAACCUUACCUGCUCUUGACAUGUACGGAAGAUUUCAGAGAUGAGAUUGUGCCUUCGGGAACCGUAACACAGGUGCUGCAUGGCUGUCGUCAGCUCGUGUCGUGAGAUGUUGUCUUAAGUGACGCAACGAGCGCAACCCUUGUCACUAGUUGCCAUCAUUAAGUUGGGCACUUUAGUGAGACUGCCGGAGCUAAUCCGGAGGAAGGUGGGGAUGACGUCAAGUCCUCAUGGCCCUUAUGAGCAGGGCUUCACACGUCAUACAAUGGUAAGUACAGAGGGAAGCGAAGCGGCGACGUGGAGCAAAUCUCAUAAAACUUAUCGUAGUCCGGAUCGUAGUCUGCGACUCGACUACGUGAAGUCGGAAUCGCUAGUAAUCGCAGAUCAGCAUGCUG